rnacentral:rRNA from 1 species
GUCGAACGGUAGCAGGAGAAAGCUUGCUUUCUUGCUGACGAGUGGCGGACGGGUGAGUAAUGCUUGGGAAUCUGGCUUAUGGAGGGGGAUAACUACGGGAAACUGUAGCUAAUACCGCGUAGUAUCGGAAGAUGAAAGUGCGGGACCGUAAGGCCGCAUGCCAUGAGAUGAGCCCAAGUGGGAUUAGGUAGUUGGUGGGGUAAAGGCCUACCAAGCCUGCGAUCUCUAGCUGGUCUGAGAGGAUGGCCAGCCACACUGGAACUGAGACACGGUCCAGACUCCUACGGGAGGCAGCAGUGGGGAAUAUUGCGCAAUGGGGGGAACCCUGACGCAGCCAUGCCGCGUGAAUGAAGAAGGCCUUCGGGUUGUAAAGUUCUUUCGGUAUUGAGGAAGGAGUGUAUGUUAAUAGCAUACAUUAUUGACGUUAAAUACAGAAGAAGCACCGGCUAACUCCGUGCCAGCAGCCGCGGUAAUACGGAGGGUGCGAGCGUUAAUCGGAAUAACUGGGCGUAAAGGGCACGCAGGCGGUUAUUUAAGUGAGGUGUGAAAGCCCCGGGCUUAACCUGGGAAUUGCAUUUCAGACUGGGUAACUAGAGUACUUUAGGGAGGGGUAGAAUUCCACGUGUAGCGGUGAAAUGCGUAGAGAUGUGGAGGAAUACCGAAGGCGAAGGCAGCCCCUUGGGAAUGUACUGACGCUCAUGUGCGAA